GGAAGGGUGGGGAUGACGUCAAGUCAUCAUCGGCCCUUAUGUCCAGGGCGACACACGUGCUACAAUGGCCGGCACAGCGGGAAGCGAGGGGGCGACCUUGAGCGGAUCCCUCAAAGCCGGUCUCAGUUCGGAUUGCAGUCUGCAACUCGACUGCAUGAAGUUGGAAUCGCUAGUAAUCGUGGAUCAGCCAAGCCGCGGUGAAUACGUUCCCGGGCCUU
rnacentral:rRNA from 1 species